UGGGGAAUCUUGCGCAAUGGGCGAAAGCCUGACGCAGCCACGCCGCGUGAGUGAAGAAGGCCUUCGGGUUGUAAAGCUCUGUCGGGCGGGACGAAAAGCUUUGGUGUUAACAGCAUCAAGGUCUGACGGUACCGCCAAAGGAAGCACCGGCUAACUUCGUGCCAGCAGCCGCGGUAAUACGAGGGGUGCAAGCGUUGCUCGGAAUUAUUGGGCGUAAAGGGUAGGUAGGUGGUCUCGUUUGUCUGGGGUGAAAGCCUUGAGCUUAACUCAAGAAGUGCCCCAGAAACGGCGAGACUUAGAGUCCUAGAGAGGGUUGCGGAAUUCCCGGUGUAGCGGUGAAAUGCGUAGAGAUCGGGAGGAACACCAGCGGCGAAGGCGGCAACCUGGAUAGGUACUGACACUCAACUACGAAAGCGUGGGGAGCAAACAG
rnacentral:rRNA from 1 species